CCUUUUUUGACUGUCUCUCUCUCCACCCUUCUAAACUUCUUUCCGCGUGAAGAAGCGCGAAUACCCUAGAAAGACGAGAAGACCCUGUCGAGCUUCAGCUAACAAGCGAACAAGCGAUCCUCAUCGCUGAACUUUCUCUCGCCCAAAAGCUUUGGUUGGGGCAACCAUGGAGUAAAUUCACCCUCCAGAACACGCAGAAGAGCACCCCUCUCUACUAUCACUUCAAAGAACCAUAAAUUGGAAAUCGGAAAAAGUUACCGCAGGGAUAACAGCGUCAUCCCCUCUGAGAGUCCUUAUUGACGAGGGGGUUUGCGACCUCGAUGUUGGAUUGGGGCCCCCUUAGGGUGCAGAAGCUCUAAACGGUUAGACUGUUCGUCUAUUAAAAGCCCU
rnacentral:rRNA from 22 species